rnacentral:rRNA from 1 species
AUUGAACGCUGGCGGCAUGCUUUACACAUGCAAGUCGAACGGUAACAGGCCGCAAGGUGCUGACGAGUGGCGAACGGGUGAGUAAUGCAUCGGAACGUGCCCAGUCGUGGGGGAUAACUACUCGAAAGAGUAGCUAAUACCGCAUACGAUCUAUGGAUGAAAGCGGGGGACCGUAAGGCCUCGCGCGAUUGGAGCGGCCGAUGUCAGAUUAGGUAGUUGGUGGGGUAAAGGCUCACCAAGCCAACGAUCUGUAGCUGGUCUGAGAGGGCGACCAGCCACACUGGGACUGAGACACGGCCCAGACUCCUACGGGAGGCAGCAGUGGGGAAUUUUGGACAAUGGGCGCAAGCCUGAUCCAGCAAUGCCGCGUGCAGGAAGAAGGCCUUCGGGUUGUAAACUGCUUUUGUACGGAACGAAACGGCUCUGGUUAAUACCCGGGGCUAACGACGGUACCGUAAGAAUAAGCACCGGCUAACUACGUG